CAGCCGCCGCGGUAAUACGAAGGGUGCAAGCGUUACUCGGAAUUACUGGGCGUAAAGCGUGCGUAGGUGGUGGUUUAAGUCCGUUGUGAAAGCCCUGGGCUCAACCUGGGAAUUGCAGUGGAUACUGGGUCACUAGAGUGUGGUAGAGGAUAGUGGAAUUUCCGGUGUAGCAGUGAAAUGCGUAGAGAUCGGAAGGAACAUCUGUGGCGAAGGCGACUAUCUGGGCCAACACUGACACUGAGGCACGAAAGCGUGGUGAGCAAACAGGAUUAGAUACCCCUGUAGUCCCUGUCUCUUAUAC
rnacentral:rRNA from 1 species